UACGGGGGGGCAAGCGUUGUUCGGAAUUACUGGGCGUAAAGGGCUCGUAGGCGGCCAACUAAGUCGGAUGUGAAAUCCCCAGGCUCAACCUGGGAACUGCAUCCGAUACUGGAUGGCUUGAAUUCGGGAGAGGGAUGCAGAAUUCCAGGUGUAGCGGUGAAAUGCGUAGAUAUCUGGAGGAAUACCGGUGGCGAAGGCGGCAUCCUGGACCGACAUUGACGCUGAGGAGCGAAAGCGUGGGGAGCA
rnacentral:rRNA from 1 species